rnacentral:rRNA from 1 species
CCUACGGGCGGCAGCAGUGGGGAAUUUUGCGCAAUGCUCGUAAGAGUGACGCCGCGACGCCGCGUGAAUGACGAAGGCCUUCGGGUCGUAAAGUUCUUUCGACAGGGAAGAAAAUGCCUAUAAGUAACUGUGUAUGUAUUGACGGUACCUGUAUAAGCAGCCCCGGCUAACUCCGUGCCAGCAGCCGCGGUAAUACGGAGGGGGCGAGCGUUGUUCGGAGGGACUGGGCGUAAAGAGCACGUAGGCGGUGUUGUAAGUCAUUAGUCAAAGACUAGAGCUCAACUUUAGUAAGGCUAGUGAUACUAUAAUACUAGAGUAUCAGAGAGGAUUGCAGAAUUCCUGGUGUAGCGGUGAAAUGCGUAGAUAUCAGGAGGAAUACCGUUAGCGAAGGCGGCAAUCUGGCUGGAAACUGACGCUGAGGUGCGAAAGCGUGGGUAGCAAACAGGAUUAGAUACCCCAGUAGUC